AACGAACGCUGGCGGCAUGCCUAACACAUGCAAGUCGAACGAGAUCUUCGGGUCCUAGUGGCGCACGGGUGCGUAACGCGUGGGAAUCUGCCCUUGGGUUCGGAAUAACUUCGGGAAACUGAAGCUAAUACCGGAUGAUGACGUAAGUCCAAAGAUUUAUCGCCCAAGGAUGAGCCCGCGUAGGAUUAGCUAGUUGGUGAGGUAAAGGCUCACCAAGGCGACGAUCCUUAGCUGGUCUGAGAGGAUGAUCAGCCACACUGGGACUGAGACACGGCCCAGACUCCUACGGGAGGCAGCAGUGGGGAAUAUUGGACAAUGGGCGAAAGCCUGAUCCAGCAAUGCCGCGUGAGUGAUGAAGGCCUUAGGGUUGUAAAGCUCUUUUACCCGACGAUGAUAAUGACAGUAUCGGGAGAAUAAGCUCCGGCUAACUCCGUGCCAGCAGCCGCGGUAAAGUGAC
rnacentral:rRNA from 1 species